UACGUAGGAGGCGAGCGUUGUCCGGAGUUACUGGGCGUAAAGCGCACGCAGGCGGUCAGAUCAGUCUGGAGUGACAGUCGUCGGCUUAACCGACGAAGUGUUCUGGAAACUGUCUGACUUGAGGGCUUCAGAGGGACACGGAAUUCCGGGUGGAGUGGUGAAAUGCGUAGAUAUCCGGAGGAACACCAAUGGCGAAGGCAGUGUCCUGGGAAGUACCGUGACGAC
rnacentral:rRNA from 1 species